AACGCUAGCUACAGGCUUAACGCAUGCAAGUCGAGGGGCAGCGCAGUGCAGCAAUGCAUGGGCGGCGACCGGCGCACGGGUGCGUAACGCGUAUCCAACCUUCCCGUUACUCAUGGAUAGCCUUCCGAAAGGGAGAUUAAUACAUGAUGGUGUUGAAAUUCCGCAUGUUAUUUCAACUAAAGAUUUAUCGGUAACGGAUGGGGAUGCGUGACAUUAGAUAGAUGGCGGGGUAACGGCCCACCAUGUCUACGAUGUCUAGGGGUUCUGAGAGGAAGGUCCCCCACACUGGAACUGAGACACGGUCCAGACUCCUACGGGAGGCAGCAGUGAGGAAUAUUGGUCAAUGGCCGGAAGGCUGAACCAGCCAAGUAGCGUGAAGGAUGAAGGUUCUAUGGAUUGUAAACUUCUUUUAUGAGGGAAUAAAACCUCCCACGUGUGGGAGCUUGUAUGUACCUUAUGAAUAAGCAUCGGCUAACUCCGUGCCAGCAGCCGCGGUAAUACGGAGGAUGCGAGCGUUAUCCGGAUUUAUUGGGUUUAAAGGGAGCGUAGACGGGAGAUUAAGUCAGCUGUGAAAGUUUGAGGCCCAACCUUAAAAUUGCAGUUGAUACUGGUUUCCUUGAGUGCGGUUGAGGUGUAUGGAAUUCGUGGUGUAGCGGUGAAAUGCUUAGAUAUCACGAAGAACUCCGAUUG
rnacentral:rRNA from 1 species